rnacentral:rRNA from 1 species
UACGGGGGGAGCAAACGUUGUUCGGAAUCACUGGGCGUAAAGGGCGCGUAGGUGGCCCGUUAAGUGGCUGGUGAAAUCCCGCGGCUCAACUGCGGGGCUGCCGGUCAUACUGGCGAGCUAGAGCACGGUAGGGGCAGAUGGAAUUCCCGGUGUAGCGGUGGAAUGCGUAGAGAUCGGGAAGAAUACCAGUGGCGAAGGCGUUCUGCUGGGCCGUUGCUGACACUGAGGCGCGACAGCGUGGGGAGCAAACAGG